rnacentral:sRNA from 1 species
UUAUUGCGAAAAGGAUAGUAGUGACAUCCUUUUUAUGACUUUAGGAAUAAAAAGAUAUAACGUAUAGCCUGGUUUUUA